GCCCAUGUGGUGGAGUGGUUUGAGCAUUGGACUGUGACCUUUGAGAGACCAGGGUUCAAAUCCCUGCUCAGCCA